CAGUAGCCGCGGUAAUACGAGGGGGGCAAGCGUUGUUCGGAAUUAUUGGGCAUAAAGGGCGCGUAGGCGGCCAUUCAAGUUAGAUGUGAAAGCCCUGGGCUCAACCUAGGAAUUGCAUUUGAUACUGUUUGGCUUGAGUUCGGGAGAGGUGAGUGGAAUUCCCAGUGUAGAGGUGAAAUUCGUAGAUAUUGGGAAGAACACCAGUGGCGAAGGCGGCUCACUGGACCGACACUGACGCUGAGGCGCGAAAGCGUGGGGAGCAAACAGGAUUAGAUACCCCCGUAGUCCCUGUCUCUUAUAC
rnacentral:rRNA from 1 species